AGUAGUGGGAUGUUACAGGCUGAAAGCGUGUAUGAUAACUUAUUACUGGGUGCACCGACUUCGAUGAUUAUUUAACCUAAGACAUCCCCCCCCCCCAGACGCUGCUGCAGCGCUUGCUGCGCGACCGGCGCGCGCUGGCCGCGCACCUGCGCUCGGCGCGCUCGUUCUACGAGCUGCGGCGCAGCGCUCUAAGCGCUGCCCUGCGCUCGCUGGCCGGCCUCGCGGACUGGAGCGAGCCCAGCGCCGGCCUGUUCCACUGGCUGCGCGUGAGGGGCGUGGACGACGUCUACAACAUGGUCUUCCACACUGCAUUUGAACGAGGACUAAUGUUGAUACCCGGCCAAGCUUUCCUCUACGACAGUAACGCCACCAGCCCGUACGUCCGGUUAACUUUCAGUAAAAUUAAGAUGGAGGACAUCGAAACCGCGGUAGGCCAUCUAGCGGACAUUAUACGAGACGAACAGAAACUUGCAAAGCAACAAAAGAGGCUCGCUACCGAAAGAUAGAGGGCGCUAGUAGUUCGUGAUUUCUGAAUUAUAACAUUUCAUAAAACGAACAUUUUGUUUCGACAAUUAUUAACAAUAACUAUUUAAGUAAAUAUUAUUUGAAAAUUAUUGUAAUCUAAUGGUUUUAUAAGUGUUUAAAAAGAUUUGAGGUGGUUAGUGACCGGUCUUUAUUAAUAUAAGCACAAUAUCUGUUUCCUUCUUUUCUCGCUGUCACCAAUUGGUGAAAAUACUUAUUGUUAACUACCCUUAUAUUUUACUGUGUAAAAUAUCAAGAUAAGUAGUUAAAAAACGCUUUGAAACUUUUUAUAUAUAUCUACAUCGGCAAAUAAGAAGCUCUGAACACCUUUCUCACCAUAGGAACACAACACUGCUUUAAAGCAAUAUUGUUUAGGUGUAGGCUUCUGUAAGGUCGAUGUAGUUCCCCAGUCGGUCUGCUCCAGAUUUUGAACAGAAUAUUUUCUUGCUGUGGAUCAGUAAACUAAAGACUUUAAAACUUAUCCAAAGUAGAAUGUGUAAAAUUGUGAUGUUUUGGAAUAAUGUUAGUUUUAAUAAAUAACUAUUCUUACAUUGUAUAAAUACCAAGGAUAGAUUUUCUUAGUUAUAAAAUAUUAUUUUACAAUAAGGAUUAGUUUGGAUGUGUAAGUAUCAAUUGAAUUAAAAUUAUUUCUUUAAAUAUAUCAAAAAAUUACUUUAAAUAAUUACCAAUCAUCACGAAAAUGAAUAUAAUGGUUUAUCAGCCAAGAUUAGUUAAAAGCAAGUAAUAAUUACUUUUUAUUAGGUACCAGCUACUUAACAACAGAUGGCGCAUUAUGCGAUUUUUUUCUCUACGUAAAAAAGAAAAGAUAAUAGGUGUUAGACGACGGUAAUGGGUGUAUUACUAUUAAUAUUAUAAUAUUUUUUAACUUGUAAACAAUACAUGCUGAAAUAAAUAUAUAUUACUACGACUGUUUUUUUUUUUAUCAAUAGAAAUAUAUUUAACAUUUCGAUAACUAACAAAAUUAAACUAAACUACCAGCUGACCCCACAAACGUUGUUUUGCCAUAUAUGUGAUGUUAUUAACCUUCUUAAUCCCUUCUCUUAUUACUAGGGCUAUGAAAAACAAUGCACACAAAAUUUCAUAAAAAUCACUCCAGCCGUUUCGGAGGAGUAUUUAUUGUGAGUAACAUUGUGACAAGUUUCCUGU
rnacentral:misc_RNA from 1 species